rnacentral:rRNA from 1 species
UACGUAGGGUGCGAGCGUUAAUCGGAAUACUGGGCGUAAAGCGUGCGCAGGCGGUUAUUUAAGUCAGGUGUGAAAGCCCUGGGCUUAACCUAGGAAUUGCGCUUGAGACUGGAUAGCUUGGAGUGCGGCAGAGGGAGGUGGAAUUCCACGUGUAGCAGUGAAAUGCGUAGAGAUGUGGAGGAACACCGAUGGCGAAGGGCAGCCCUCCUGGGCCAGCACUGACGCUCAUGCACGAAAGCGUGGGGAGCAAACAGG